AUGUGGUUGGAUGAGGUAGGAUGCAGUUGGAUGUAGUAGGAUGAGGUUGGAUGAGGCUAGAUGCAGUUGGAUGUGGUUGGAUGAGGUUGGAUGUGGUUGGAUGAGGUAGGAUGCAGUUGGAUGUAGUAGGAUGAGGUUGGAUGAGGUAGGAUGAAGCUGGAUGUAGUAUGAGGCUAGAUGCAGUUGGAUGUGGUUGGAUGAGGUUGGAUGUGGUUGGAUGAGGUAGGAUGCAGUUGGAUGUAGCUAGAUGCAGUUGGAUGUGGUUGGAUGAGGUUGGAUGUGGUUGGAUGAGGUAGGAUGCAGUUGGAUGUGGUUGGAUGCAGUAGGAUGAGGUUGGAUGUGGUUGGAUGAGGUAGGAUGCAGUUGGAUGUAGUAGGAUGAGGUAGGAUGCAGUUGGAUGAGGUAGGAUGAGGCUGGAUGUGGUUGGAUGUCGUAGGAUGAGGUUGGAUGAGGCUGGAUGCAGUUGGAUGAGGUAGGAUUAGGUUAGAUGUGUUAGGAUGUGGUUGGAUGAGUUUGGAUGAGAUAGGAUGCAGAUGGAUGUAGUAGGAUGUGGUUGGAUGAGGUAGGAUGCAGUUGGAUGAGGUUGGAUGUGUUAG